CACCUACGGGGCGCAGCAGUCGGGAAUAUUGCGCAAUGGAGGAAACUCUGACGCAGUGACGCCGCGUAUAGGAAGAAGGUUUUGGGAUUGUAAACUAUUGUCGUUAGGGAAGAUAAAAGACUGUACCUAAGGAGGAAGCCCCGGCUAACUAUGUGCCAGCAGCCGCGGUAAUACGUAGGGGGCUAGCGUUAUCCGGAAUUACUGGGCGUAAAGGGUGCGUAGGUGGUUUCUUAAGUCAGAGGUGAAAGGCUACGGCUCAACCGUAGUAAGCCUUUGAAACUGGGAAACUUGAGUGCAGGAGAGGA
rnacentral:rRNA from 1 species